UCCCGCAAUUAGGCUAUCUUACCCUC
rnacentral:piRNA from 2 species